rnacentral:rRNA from 1 species
GACGAACGCUGGCGGCGUGCUUAACACAUGCAAGUCGAACGGAAAGGCCUCUUUCGGGGGGUACUCGAGUGGCGAACGGGUGAGUAACACGUGAGUAACCUGCCCUUGACUUUGGGAUAACUUCAGGAAACUGGGGCUAAUACCGGAUAGGAGCUCCUGCUGCAUGGUGGGGGUUGGAACGUUUCGGCGGUUGGGGAUGGACUCGCGGCUUAUCAGCUUGUUGGUGGGGUAGUGGCUUACCAAGGCUUUGACGGGUAGCCGGCCGGUGAGGGUGAGCGGCCGCACUGAGACUGAGGGACGGCACCGACUCCGACGCGUGGGAGCUGUGGGAAAUAUUGCCGGAUGGGUGGAGGCCUAGUGCAGCAACGCCGUGUGUGGGAAGACGGCCUUCGGGGUGAAGACCACUUUCGCUAGUGACGAAGCUUGGUGUGACGGUAGUGAGUAAGGAAGCCCCGGCUAACUACGUG